CGGGACGGGUGAGUAACGCGUGGGUAACCUGCCUCACACAGGGGGAUAACAGUUGGAAACGGCUGCUAAUACCGCAUAAGCGCACAGUACCGCAUGGUACGGUGUGAAAAACUCCGGUGGUGUGAGAUGGACCCGCGUCUGAUUAGCUAGUUGGCAGGGCAGCGGCCUACCAAGGCGACGAUCAGUAGCCGACCUGAGAGGGUGACCGGCCACAUUGGGACUGAGACACGGCCCAA
rnacentral:rRNA from 1 species